CCAAACCCGUCCGUCCUAGGAAGAUUCCGUCUGAUUGUAGCUGCAAAAGCCCGACCCACUGCCAUCCCUACCUGAAACACUCAUCUGUUUUCCACCGCCGCUCCUCACCCUUCAAGUUUCGAUCCCUUUCUUCCCUCUCUUUCAGUCGGUCACCAUUUUUUGGGUGGAGAUUGAUUAUUCUAGAGUUCAACGGCCCAGGCACGACACUUGGUGAAUGAGUGUCUUACCGUUGAGCCUAGCUGCUACUUUCCUUCAUAAAGCUCUGCCUUUUCAGUCCAAGAUGCUUAAAACGCUGAUGCCAAGAAGACGAUAAGGUUACUGCAAGGGAUUUAGGUGAUGAAUCUGUGCCUAUCCGCCAGUGGCAACAUUGGAGCUAAUCAAGGAUCAAAUGGAGGCUAUAGUGGUUGCUGCUACUACUACUAAUGCUACUUCGAACUCACAGAUGACGAUUCACAAGAGAUCUCAAUCAAUGUCAAUCGCCUAUACUUGGAUACUGUGGGUGGAGAGAAGAAGCGGCGCGUGUACGGUUUGGGCUCUCAUGCUUCAACUUUGUACCUAGACUCAUUCAGCAGCUCUGCCACUUCCCGCAGGACAACUACGGUGAUAGAUCAUUGCUGAUGAGCGCAUUAGAGUGCUUGAGGAGGAGAUUGUGCACAUGAGGGAAAAUCAAGAACGAAUUCUCCAGCAACGCGUU
rnacentral:misc_RNA from 1 species